GAUGAACGCUGGCGGCGUGCCUAAUACAUGCAAGUCGAGCGAACGGACGAGAAGCUUGCUUCUCUGAUGUUAGCGGCGGACGGGUGAGUAACACGUGGAUAACCUACCUAUAAGACUGGGAUAACUUCGGGAAACCGGAGCUAAUACCGGAUAAUAUUUUGAACCGCAUGGUUCAAAAGUGAAAGACGGUCUUGCUGUCACUUAUAGAUGGAUCCGCGCUGCAUUAGCUAGUUGGUAAGGUAACGGCUUACCAAGGCAACGAUGCAUAGCCGACCUGAGAGGGUGAUCGGCCACACUGGAACUGAGACACGGUCCAGACUCCUACGGGAGGCAGCAGUAGGGAAUCUUCCGCAAUGGGCGAAAGCCUGACGGAGCAACGCCGCGUGAGUGAUGAAGGUCUUCGGAUCGUAAAACUCUGUUAUUAGGGAAGAACAUAUGUGUAAGUAACUGUGCACAUCUUGACGGUACCUAAUCAGAAAGCCACGGCUAACUACGUGCCAGCAGCCGCGGUAAUACGUAGGUGGCAAGCGUUAUCCGGAAUUAUUGGGCGUAAAGCGCGCGUAGGCGGUUUUUUAAGUCUGAUGUGAAAGCCCACGGCUCAACCGUGGAGGGUCAUUGGAAACUGGAAAACUUGAGUGCAGAAGAGGAAAGUGGAAUUCCACGUGUAGCGGUGAAAUGCGCAGAGAUAUGGAGGAACACCAGUGGCGAAGGCGACUUUCUGGUCUGUAACUGACGCUGAUGUGCGAAAGCGUGGGGAUCAAACAGGAUUAGAUACCCUGGUAGUCCACGCCGUAAACGAUGAGUGCUAAGUGUUAGGGGGUUUCCGCCCCUUAGUGCUGCAGCUAACGCAUUAAGCACUCCGCCUGGGGAGUACGACCGCAAGGUUGAAACUCAAAGGAAUUGACGGGGACCCGCACAAGCGGUGGAGCAUGUGGUUUAAUUCGAAGCAACGCGAAGAACCUUACCAAAUCUUGACAUCCUUUGACAACUCUAGAGAUAGAGCCUUCCCCUUCGGGGGACAAAGUGACAGGUGGUGCAUGGUUGUCGUCAGCUCGUGUCGUGAGAUGUUGGGUUAGGUCCCGCAACGAGCGCAACCCUUAAGCUUAGUUGCCAUCAUUAAGUUGGGCACUCUAAGAUGACUGCCGGUGACAAACCGGAGGAAGGUGGGGAUGACGUCAAAUCAUCAUGCCCCUUAUGAUUUGGGCUACACACGUGCUACAAUGGACAAUACAAAGGGCAGCGAAACCGCGAGGUCAAGCAAAUCCCAUAAAGUUGUUCUCAGUUCGGAUUGUAGUCUGCAACUCGACUACAUGAAGCUGGAAUCGCUAGUAAUCGUAGAUCAGCAUGCUACGGUGAAUACGUUCCCGGGUCU
rnacentral:rRNA from 1 species